rnacentral:rRNA from 1 species
CCCUUAGACGUUCUGGGCCGCACGCGCGCUACACUGACCAGUGCAACAAGCAUCCGUCCUUGGCCGACAGGCUCGGGCAAUCUUUGAACGCUGGUCGUGAUGGGGAUAGACUUUUGCAAUUUUUGGUCUUCAACGAGGAAUUCCUAGUAAACGCAAGUCAUCCACUUGCAUUGAUUACGUCCCUGCCCUUUGUACACACCGCCCGUCGCACCUACCGAUUGAAUGGUCCGGUGAAGCCUCCGGAUUGGCGCGCACCUCGGUGCCGCCGAGAAGUUGGCUAAACCUUACCAUUUAGAGGAAGGUGAAGUCGUAACA